ACUCCAGUCGCACAGUUGGUAGUGCAACGGACUCUUAAUCCGUGAGGACGUGGGUUCAAGUCCCACCUGGAGUA
rnacentral:tRNA from 1 species